GCUGGGUGUGGUGGCGCAUGCCUGUAAUCCCAGCUACUCGGGAGGCUGAGACAGGAGAAUCGCUUGAACCCAGGAGGCGGAAAUUGCAGUGAGCCAAGAUCAUGCCACUGCAUUCCAGCCUGGGCAAUAGAGCGAGAGUCUAUCUCAA
rnacentral:SRP_RNA from 1 species